GCACGGGUGGUUUCGGCCAUCAGUGGCGGACGGGUGAGUAUCGCGUAGGGAUUUAUCGUUGGGUGGGGGAUAACCCUGGGAAACUGGGGCUAAUACCGCAUGACGCCUUUGGGCCAAAGCAGAGAUGUGCCUGACGAGGAGCCUGCGUCCGAUUAGGUAGUUGGUUGGGUAACGGCUGACCAAGCCUGCGAUCGGUAGCUGGUCUGAGAGGAUGAUCAGCCACACUGGGACUGAGACACGGCCCAGACUCCUACGGGAGGCAGCAGUGGGGAAUAUUGGACAAUGGGGGCAACCCUGAUCCAGCAAUGCCGCGUGGAUGAAGAAGGUCUUCGGAUUGUAAAGUCCUUUCGGCGGGGACGAUGAUGACGGUACCCGCAGAAGAAGCCCCGGCUAACUUCGUG
rnacentral:rRNA from 1 species